rnacentral:rRNA from 1 species
UACGUAGGGGGCAAGCGUUGUCCGGAUUUAUUGGGCGUAAAGAGCUCGUAGGCGGUGUGUCGCGUCGGCCGUGAAAACCUGCAGCUUAACUGUGGGCUUGCGGUCGAUACGGGCAUCAUUGGAGUUCGGCAGGGGAGACUGGAAUUCCUGGUGUAGCGGUGAAAUGCGCAGAUAUCAGGAGGAACACCGGUGGCGAAGGCGGGUCUCUGGGCCGAUACUGACGCUGAGGAGCGAAAGCGUGGGGAGCGAACAGG